GGACAGUGGAAAAAAAGACAGAGACACAGAAAUAGGCAGAGACAAAGACAGAAAGAGAGAGACAGACAUACAGAGACACAGAGACUGGCAGAGACAAAGACAAAGAGACAGAGAGAUGGAGACAAAGACAGAGAAACCCACAGAGAUAAGAAACAGAGAUACACAGAGACAGAGACACACAGAGACAGGGAGAUGAAGAAAGACAAAGAGAGUCAGAAAGGGGCAGAAACAGAGAGAGAGAGCAGAAAUACGAAUAGCUGCUGUGACUGGUGAGAUGGUUCAGUGGGUAGAAGCUAUUGCCACCCAAACCUGAGUUUGAGUUUUGUAACCCCUGUAAAGGAAGAAGGAAAGAAUCAACUGCGCACAGUUCCUCUGACCUCCUCAUGUGUACCAUGGCAUCCACACCUCAAAUAAUAAUAAUGAUGAUGAUGAUAAUAAUAAUAAUAUGAUUUUUUAAAGUUUUUAAGGAUACUUGCUUUCCUGGGUCCUUUGAUGGGGCAUGGCUACUCAAGGGUUGUCUGUAAGUCAGAGGAUCCGUUGUCUGGUAAGUAAGUCCUGGUGGGGACAGCUCUUGCUUCAUUUACAGUCCAGGAUCCCAGCUAGGGAAUGGCAUCACCCACAGUGGGCAGGUCUUCCUUAGCCAAUUAUCUCAAUCAAGAGAAUCCCCCACAGACAUUCCUGGAGUCCCACAUUUCCUGUGACUCUAAAUUCUGUCAAUUUGACAGCUAACAUUAACUGUGCUGGUUUGAAUAUGCUUGGUCCAGGGAGUGGCACUAUUAGGAGGUGUGGCCCUGUUAGAGUGGGUGUGACCUUGUUAGAGUAGGUGUGGCCUUGUUGGAGGAACUGUGUCACUAUUGAGGUAGGUUUUGAGACCCUCUUCCUAGCUUCCUGGAAUACAGUAGUCUUCUGUUUGCCUUCGUAACAAGCUGUAGAACUUUCAGCUCCUCCAGCACCAUGUCUGCCUGGAAGCUGACAUGCUUCCCACCAUGAUGAUAAUGGACUGAACCUUUGAACCUGCAAGCCAGCCCCAAUUAAAUGUUUGCCUUUAUAAGAGUUGCCUUGGUUAUGGUAUCUCUUCACAGCAAUGGAAACCCUAGCUAGGACACUAACCAACUAACUAACUCUUCUGGAAGAGAUCAUUUCUCCAUAUAAAAGUAACAUCAAGAAUAGAAUACUUGCCGGGCAUAGUGGCGCACGCCUUUAAUCCCAGCACUCAGGAGGCAGAGGUAGGCGGAGUUUGAGGCCAGCCUGGUCUACAAAGUGAGCUCCAGGACAGCCAGAGCUAUACAGAGAAACUCUGUCUCAAAAAACC
rnacentral:lncRNA from 1 species